rfam:Kwoniella heveanensis BCC8398 unplaced genomic scaffold supercont1.3, whole genome shotgun sequence.
GGCUUUGUGGCGCAAUUGGUAGCGCGUCAGAUUCCAAUUCGAUCUUCGGUCUCCGAAGCGAAUGAUCUGUAGGUUAUCCGUUCGAGUCGGGUCAGGGUCA